rnacentral:rRNA from 1 species
UAACGCGAAGAACCUUACCAGGUCUUGACAUCCUUUGACCACUCUAGAGAUAGAGCUUUCCCUUCGGGGACAAAGUGACAGGUGGUGCAUGGUUGUCGUCAGCUCGUGUCGUGAGAUGUUGGGUUAAGUCCCGCAACGAGCGCAACCCUUAUUGUUAGUUGCCAUCAUUUAGUUGGGCACUCUAGCGAGACUGCCGGUGACAAACCGGAGGAAGGUGGGGAUGACGUCAAAUCAUCAUGCCCCUUAUGACCUGGGCUACACACGUGCUACAAUGGGAAGUACAACGAGUCGCUAGACCGCGAGGUCAUGCAAAUCUCUUAAAGCUUCUCUCAGUUCGGAUUGCAGGCUGCAACUCGCCUGCAUGAAGCCGGAAUCGCUAGUAAUCGCGGAUCAGCACGCCGCGGUGAAUACGUUCCCGGGUCUUGUACACACCGAA